UACAGAGGUCUCAAGCGUUGCUCGGAAUUACUGGGCGUAAAGGGUGCGCAGGCCGCGCGGGCAGUCAAAUGUGUAAUUCAGGGGCUCAACCCCUGCACUGCGCUUGAUACUUCCGCGCUCGAGCUUUGGAGAGGAGUCUGGAAUUCUCGGUGUAGCAGUGAAAUGCGUGGAUAUCGAGAAGAACACUUAGGGCGUAGGCAAGACUCUGGACAAAUGCUGACGCUCAUGCACGAAGGCUAGGGUAGCGAACGGG
rnacentral:rRNA from 1 species